ACGAACGCUGGCGGCGUGCUUAACACAUGCCAGUCGAACGGAAAGGCCCUGCUUUUGUGGGGUGCUCGAGUGGCGAACGGGUGAGUAACACGUGAGUAACCUGCCCUUGACUUUGGGAUAACUUCAGGAAACUGGGGCUAAUACCGGAUAGGAGCUCCUGCUGCAUGGUGGGGGUUGGAAAGUUUCGGCGGUUGGGGAUGGACUCGCGGCUUAUCAGCUUGUUGGUGGGGUAGUGGCUUACCAAGGCUUUGUCGGGUAGCCGGCCUGAGAGGGUGACCGGCCACAUUGGGACUGAGAUACGGCCCAGACUCCUACGGGAGGCAGCAGUGGGGAAUAUUGCACAAUGGGCGGAAGCCUGAUGCAGCAACGCCGCGUGCGGGAUGACGGCCUUCGGGUUGUAAACCGCUUUCGCCUGUGACGAAGCGUGAGUGACGGUAAUGGGUAAAGAAGCACCGGCUAACUACGUG
rnacentral:rRNA from 1 species